AACCUCCUUGUUUUCCUUGUUUUGAUCAUCUUGGUGAGUCUGUCAAGGUCAUCUGUUGACCCCAGCUUAGCAGGACUGGCAGCUACCUAUAUUUUGAACAUAAAUGUUCUUCGAGCAUUGGUGAUAUGGAAUUUGUGAAACGUUGAGAACAACAUCUUAUUGUUUGAGAGAAUUCUCCAAUUGACUAAUAUACCAAGUGCAUCAGCAGCACUGAAUGGGUCAUCCAGGAAAUAAACAUCCGCAUCACUAUAGAUAGCCUUGACCAGUUGGAUUCUCUGCUUUUGCCCUCCACUUAAGUUCAUCCCCCUCUCUCCAACUGCACUUAAAUUUCUGCCUUGCCAAAUAUUGAUAUCUUGAUUCAAAGCACAAGCUUCCAAUACAUCAUCAUAGAAUGCCUUGUUCAUUUCUUUGCCAAACAAGACAUUCUCCCUAAUUGUAACUAUUUGAAUCCCAACACACUGUGGGACACAGGCUUUUCGUCCAUAAACUAUUACUCCUCUCCCAUAAAUCCUUGGAAUUUCACCUAGUAUAGACUUUCCUGACUCAACAGAACCACAUACUGCAACCUUUUCACCUUUCAAUACUGUCAUAUUCUCCAUAAUUCUGACGGUAGGUCUCUGUAUUUUUUCAUCACUUUCCCAAGCAUAUUCCCCAAUAUCAAUUUCAAUAGCAAUAUUGGAAUCUAUGGAAGUAUGAUAAUUUAUCUUCUUUUGAUCUUCUCCAACUCUUGGACACGAUCAACAGAGACCUUUGUUUGAGCCAUCAUUGAAAUGAACUCUGGUAGGUUGUAGAUGGGUUCUUGUAAAACACAAAGUGGCUAAACCAGAGGAGACUGUUCCUGCUAUCAACAGUAUGUACAAUAUUAUGCAAAUUCCAAAAGUGAAAAUAGAAACAAAAGUUGGUGAAGCCUAGAAAAAGAAGGCCACUACGGAGCAAGAAAAUAGGUAUCUUUUCAGCCAGUUUCCCUCAGAUAAAGGAGAUUCUUCAAGAACAUGGGUUACCAUGGAUGCAGCUUCAACACUCUCAUACUCUUUAGAGUUUCUGAAGUCACUUUGAUUCUUGCAGCCUUGGCUUCCAUAAUCUUUGAGUGGAGUCUUUUUUGCAUUUUGGCCAAAGGUGUGUUGCAUACCAUCUCCAAAACUGUGGCAGAUGAUGCAGCAAUGGAGGGGGCAGCUCCUAGAUUUCUAUAGAGGAUGAUUGAGGCCAGAAGGAACUGGACUGGAAGACAACAAACUCCGUGAAUGUAUAAGCAGAAGCCUCCAAUUUUUUUUGGCAUCCAAGUUGAUUGAAUUUAUGAUUUUGUCAUUGCUUGAACCAGCAUGCUUAAUUGAUAGAGAUUUCUUUUAAAUCAAUAC